rnacentral:rRNA from 1 species
CCCAAGAUGGUAAGCUCCCUGCUUCGCAGGGCGCGUUGUAACCUUGAGAUGCUAAGCUCACCGGUUGGUGGCGCAGAAGUGCCCUGGAACGGGUCGCCAGAGAGGGUGACAGCCCCGUACGUGGCGCCGCUGACUAACGAGCUGGUAUUCAAAGAGUCGGGUUCGUUGGUAUACGAGCCCUAAGUGGGAGAUAGACUUCUUCUAAGGCUAAAUAUAUGUAGGAAACCGAUAGCGAACAAGUACUGUGAAGGAAAGAUGAAAAGUGCUCUGGAAAGAGGGUCAAAAGACCUGAAACCGUUGAGGAGGAAGCGGUAGAGAUGUAUUCUACGGGUGGGCGCUGGAGGCUGAACUAGUUAUGUCUUUUAGGAGUACGUCAAUGGCUCUUGGGGGUUCUCUGGCGAGUUCAGCUGUAUGCGCCUAUUCGUGAGGCCGGAUGGGGUCGCGUCGCCGCAAAUGCUUUCUACAGUUGGGGUGCCUCGGUAUUCACUGUGGAUCUGCCGGUGGCGGUGUGGCCUGAGGGUGCUUUGUGCGAUCCGGCCAAAAUGGUCUUUACCGACCCGUCUUGAAACACGGACCAAGGAGUCUAACGUACGCGCGAGUGUGCCGGUGGAGAAACCGAUACGCGUAAUGAAAGUGACUGGUGCCAACCGCAAGGGGCAGCAUCGGCCGACCUGGAUCCUCGGUGAAAGGUUUGCGUAAGAGCGCGUCCGCUAGGACCCGAAAGAUGGUGAACUAUGCCUGAGUAGGGUGAAGCCAGGG